CCUACGGGGGGCAGCAGUGGGGAAUAUUGGACAAUGGGGGCAACCCUGAUCCAGCCAUGCCGCGUGUGUGAAGAAGGCCCUCGGGUUGUAAAGCACUUUCAGUGAGGAAGAACGCCUGGUGGUUAAUACCCAUCAGGAAAGACAUCACUCACAGAAGAAGCACCGGCUAACUCCGUGCCAGCAGCCGCGGUAAUACGGAGGGUGCGAGCGUUAAUCGGAAUUACUGGGCGUAAAGCGCGCGUAGGUGGCUUGAUAAGCCGGUUGUGAAAGCCCCGGGCUCAACCUGGGAACGGCAUCCGGAACUGUCAAGCUAGAGUGCAGGAGAGGAAGGUGGAAUUCCCGGUGUAGCGGUGAAAUGCGUAGAGAUCGGGAGGAAUACCAGUGGCGAAGGCGGCCUUCUGGACUGACACUGACACUGAGGUGCGAAAGCGUGGGUAGCAAACAGGAUUAGAUACCCUAGUAGUC
rnacentral:rRNA from 1 species